GACGAACGCUGGCGGCGUGCUUAAUACAUGCAAGUCAACGAUUUUUAAGAUAGCAAUAUUUUAAAAAUAGUGGCGCACGGGUGAGUAACACGUAGAUAAUCUGCCUUUAGGUCUGACAUAACUCGUCGAAAGACGGGCUAAUAUCAGAUAAAACAAUAACUUGGCAUCAAGUAAUUGUCAAAGCUUCGGCGCCCAAAGAUGAGUCUGCGGACCAUUAGGUAGUCGGUGGAUUAACAGCCCACCAAGCCAACGAUGGAUAGCUGGUCUGAGAGGAUGAUCAGCCACACUGGAACUGAGACACGGUCCAGACUCCUACGGGAGGCAGCAGUAAGGGAAUAUUGCUCAAUGGGAGAAAUCCUGAAGCAGCAAACGCCGCGUCGAAGGAAGAAGGGU
rnacentral:rRNA from 1 species